AUUGAACGCUGGCGGCAGGCCUAACACAUGCAAGUCGAGCGGUAGAGAGAAGCUUGCUUCUCUUGAGAGCGGCGGACGGGUGAGUAAGGCCUAGGAAUCUGUCUGGUAGUGGGGGAUAACGUUCGGAAACGGACGCUAAUACCGCGUACGUCCUACGGGAGAAAGCAGGGGAUUGUCGGGCCUUGCGCUAUCAGAUGAGCCUAGGUCGGAUUAGCUAGUUGGUGAGGUAAUGGCUCACCAAGGCGACGAUCCGUAACUGGUCUGAGAGGAUGAUCAGUCACACUGGAACUGAGACACGGUCUAGACUCCUACGGUAGGCAGCAGUGGGGAAUAUUGGACAAUGGACGAAAGCCUGAUCCAGCCAUGCCGCGUGUGUGAAGAAGGUCUUCGGAUUGUAAAGCACUUUAAGUUGGGAGGAAGGGCAUUAACCUAAUACGUUAGUGUUUUGACGUUACCGACAGAAUAAGCACCGGCUAACUCUGUGCCAGCCGCCGCCGUAA
rnacentral:rRNA from 1 species